rnacentral:misc_RNA from 1 species
UCUCCGUUGGUGAACCAGCGGAGGGAUCAUUACCGAGUUUACAACUCCCAAACCCAAUGUGAACGUUACCAAACUGUUGCCUCGGCGGGGUCACGCCCCGGGUGCGUCGCAGCCCCGGGACCAGGCGCCCGCCGGAGGAACCAACCAAACUCUUUCUGUAGUCCCCUCGCGGACGUUAUUUCUUACAGCUCUGAGCAAAAAUUCAAAAUGAAUCAAAACUUUCAACAACGGAUCUCUUGGUUCUG